AAUGGGGGCAACCCUGACGCAGCCAUGCCGCGUGAACGAUGAAGGCCUUAGGGUUGUAAAGUUCUUUUACCCGUGACGAUGAUGACGGUAACGGGGGAAUAAGCUCCGGCUAACUUCGUGCCAGCAGCCGCGGUAAUACGAAGGGGGCUAGCGUUGUUCGGAAUUACUGGGCGUAAAGCGCGCGCAGGCGGUUCGAUAAGUUGGGGGUGAAAUCCCCGGGCUCAACCCGGGAAUGGCCUUCAAGACUGUCGAGCUAGAGGACGAGAGAGGUGAGUGGAAUUCCCAGUGUAGAGGUGAAAUUCGUAGAUAUUGGGAAGAACACCGGUGGCGAAGGCGGCUCACUGGCUCGUUUCUGACGCUGAGGCGCGAAAGCGUGGGGAGCAAA
rnacentral:rRNA from 1 species